CAGCCGCCACGGUAAUACGAAGGGUGCAAGCGUUAAUCGGAAUUACUGGGCGUAAAGCGUGCGUAGGCGGUGAGUUAAGUCUGCUGUGAAAUCCCCGGGCUCAACCUGGGAAUGGCAGUGGAUACUGGCUCGCUAGAGUGUGUCAGAGGAUGGUGGAAUUCCCGGUGUAGCGGUGAAAUGCGUAGAGAUCGGGAGGAACAUUAGUGGCGAAGGCGGCCAUCUGGGACAACACUGACGCUGAGGCACGAAAGCGUGGGGAGCAAACAGGAUUAGAUACCCCCGUAGUCCCUGUCUCUUAUAC
rnacentral:rRNA from 1 species